UGCAAGGCCCAGAUGUUAUUAAUAGCAAGGGAAUAAUGGUCACACAUUCCAUUUUUCCUAGAAAUGAAAGUAUCUGAACUCGAAUUGACUUUCUAGGAGAUAGCCAUUCUGUUCCCUUAAAACUUACUAAAGCCUGAAACUGGUGUGGAGCCCAUAUAGUGACUGACUGACCAAACUUUAAUUUUUUAGCUCCUUUAGCAGGGUUAUAGUAGCUGCUAACUGCCCAUAGGAACCUCGGUUGAUAAAGAAUCUCCUAAGGUUUGCCUCACAAGCGGAGAGGAGAGGAGAGAUCAGAUGUACUUGAAUGAUACAACAAAUGUUGCUGAUGGUACAUCACUAUGCAGUGAUUCUAAAUUGCAACUGACAGCACUUCAACUACAGCCUAUCAAAAUCUCACAGGGAGGCAUGCCUCGGAAAUACUGUGGGUUAGGUUCCAGACCAGUGCAGUAAAGCAAAUAUCACAAUAAAGAGUGGCAAUUUUGAAAGGACUUCCAUGAUUUACAGAGGGACCUGGAGGACCUUCUCAUACUCACCUCUAGGACGUACACUCUCUGCUCUUAUUGUGGGUUUUUCCUCUAAGGCCAUGGAGAACCCAGACUUUCUUUCAAGGACCCUCUUCUUUCCACCCCCUAACCUCCUACCCAGGAUACUGAUGGGACCAUAACUGCCUCUCUAUACCUUGCAUCUCCCUGCAAAGAAGUGGCUAAUCUGAAUGUAGAAAAUAUACAGGGGAGGGGUUUGUGUUCAAGGAAAAUAUAUAAUAUCAGAGUUCAUGCAAGCUCCUGUUAACUUUCAACUUUCUUUUGAACUUCUUAAUGCCUUUUCACCUCUGUGACAUGAUCAAUAGACUGGCAUAGAUGUCAUUUCUAUCUUUCACACUUUAAGGUGUGAAUGACUGAGGGAUUCCCAAGUUUUUAAUUUGGAAGGCAGGAGGAAAACUAUGUUCAGUAUUAAGCCUUGUUCUAUAAUCCAUUUUCACCAGACUCUGGGGCUUUGGGUGCUUGCUGGUCAUUAACAAUAUAACUGAUAAUUUGCUUCCUAUUUAAUUGGUGACCGGUAUAUACUAUGACUCAGAACUCCAGAAAGGAGUAGAAGUAAAGACAACUUCAAUCUAAGCAUAUAUGAACAUAAACAUUCAGUAGCAACCCAUCGAGAUAAAAUAAGUAAUGGCUACUUUAAGCAUUAGAAAUGCAGUGGGGGCAGGAGGAGUCAUGUGCCAAAGCCUCUCCAAGUAAUUAAAGCAUAGUCUUCAUGUUUUGCCAUUUGUCAGAACAAAGUAAAUAUUGGAAUCUUAAUACUUGCACCCUCUCAGCUAAAUGUCCUUCUGUGGCUAUUGCUCAAAUAUUGAAAAUACUUGUGUAAGUUCUAGUGCAAAACUGCCACAGGAGUGAUUUAUAAAGAGACAUAACCUGCUGCCUCCAUGAAUUCAUGCAUCCACCAUCACAGUUCAUAUCAAUUUUGUUCUGGUUCCCAUUAGCAAUAUUGUCAAAAAAAAAUCAGAGAAAAAUAAUGACCCUGCAAGCCUAGAAAUUUAGAUCCGGAUAUGAGCCGUAAAUCUGUAUUAAUUUAAUAGUUAAAGUGCGUUAAUGCUUUGUAAUAUUUUUUCUUUAUAGAGAACACAAUAGUGAGGUCAUCUGUAAUAAAGAUGUUAAUCCUGA